rnacentral:misc_RNA from 1 species
UUUCCGUAGGUGAACCUGCGGAAGGAUCAUUAAAGUUAUAGUCCCCCGGCCCCUCCGGGCUGGGGUCUUCUAUACCACCCUUUGUUUAUUACGCCUUUGUUGCUUUGGCAGGCCUGCCCUCGGGCUGCUGGCUCCGGCCGGCUCGUGCCUGCCAGAGGACCUAAACUCUGUUUGUAUAUGAAGUCUGAGUACUAUAUAAUAGUUAAAACUUUCAACAACGGAUCUCUUGGUUCUG